rnacentral:rRNA from 1 species
CAGGCCUAACACAUGCAAGUCGAGCGGGGUGAUGUAGCUCGCUACAUUACCUAGCGGCGGACGGGUGAGUAAUGCUUAGGAAUCUGCCUAUUAGUGGGGGGCAACAUUCCGAAAGGAAUGCUAAUACCGCAUACGCCCUACGGGGGAAAGCAGGGGAUCUUCGGACCUUGCGCUAAUAGAUGAGCCUAAGUCAGAUUAGCUAGUUGGUGGGGUAAAGGCCUACCAAGGCGACGAUCUGUAGCGGGUCUGAGAGGAUGAUCCGCCACACUGGGACUGAGACACGGCCCAGACUCCUACGGGAGGCAGCAGUGGGGAAUAUUGGACAAUGGGCGAAAGCCUGAUCCAGCCAUGCCGCGUGUGUGAAGAAGGCCUUUUGGUUGUAAAGCACUUUAAGCGAGGAGGAGGCUACUUAGAUUAAUACUCUAGGAUAGUGGACGUUACUCGCAGAAUAAGCACCGGCUAACUCUGUGCCAGCAGCCGCGGUAAU